GCGCUUAAUCAAAAAACCAUUUUCGAGAGCAACUUUUCCCCAAAAAAGUGUUAGGGUUCUGGAAUUUGGGGAAAAGGUUGGUCGAUUUCGAGGUAUAGGGUUCGAUAUUAUCCAAUUGAUGAAGAUUUAAUAGGCGAAGUCACGAUUUGAAAGGGAAUCAUCAAUUCAUGUAGGAAUUCAUCCAUUUUGGGUUUGCAGAUGUCUACUUCAUCUUCUCAUGGAUUGAGGUGCCUUUUAUGUGGGGUUGAAAUGAAAUUACUUCUAUCAACUACAGAACAACAUUACAACAAAUAUUUUUGGAAGUGUACAAGGAAAUAUGGAGGUGUUGGAUGCAAAGGUUUCGUAUUGUGUAAUGAUGUUGACAACACCAAAUGGAGGGAAAAUAUCAUCUUUAAAGACUCACAACGGAUGGAAAACAAUGGUAGCAAGGGUGUGGUGUUUCAAUCUAUGUAGCUACAAGUUGGAGAUGUUUUGAAUAUGCUGAAAGGAAUAAAAGAGAUGUUGAUCAUUUGUAUCUUGAUUGUUGUCAAUGUUGUUUUCAAUUUAGUUAUAUAAAAAAAUGAGGUGCUUAGAUGGUGCUUCAAUUUGGGUAAAGACAUGUUUUGGUUGUAACAUUCUGCUCAAAUGUUUUGGUUGUAACAUUGUGAUCAAAAUUUGUGGAAAGACAUGUC